UACGUAGGGGGCAAGCGUUGUUCGGAAUUACUGGGCGUAAAGGGCGCGUAGGCGGCACAGCAAGUCGGGAGUGAAAGCCCGGGGCUCAACCCCGGAAUGGCCUUCGAAACUGCUGAGCUAGAGUACAGAAGGGGCAACCGGAAUUCCCAGUGUAGCGGUGAAAUGCGUAGAUAUUGGGAAGAACACCUGAGGCGAAGGCGGGUUGCUGGGCUGAUACUGACGCUGAGGCGCGAAAGCCAGGGGAGCAAACGGG
rnacentral:rRNA from 1 species